rnacentral:rRNA from 1 species
UUCAUUGUGAGUGAAACGGUGGGAACUUUUUCUAACCUCGCCAUUUAGAGGAAGGUGAAGUCGUAACAAGGUUUCCGUAGGUGAACCUGCGGAAGGAUCAUUACCACACCAAAAAAAUACCCACGUGAAUGUAUUCUUUAUAAGGCUUGUGCUUGGUUUCGACCCGGCUAGCCGAAGGUUUCGCAAGAAACCGAUGUAUUUUUAAUCCCUUUAACUAAAAUACUGAAAAAACUAGCCGUCAGAAAUGAUAGCUUUUAAUUGAAAUACAACUUUCAACAGUGGAUGUCUAGGCUCGCACAUCGAUGAAGAACGCUGCGAACUGCGAUACGUAAUGCGAAUUGCAGAAUUCAGUGAGUCAUCGAAAUUUUGAACGCAUAUUGCACUUUCGGGUUAGUCCUGGAAGUAUGUCUGUAUCAGUGUCCGUUAAUACAAAAUUGUUUUAUCUUUUGAUAGAACAGAAUGUGAAGGUCUUGUUUCGGCAAGUCCUUUUAAAUGACGGUCCCUGUAUAGCUGUUCAAGUACAUUAUAUAAAGGGCUACAUGAUUCUGAUUUCGAAUGUUUUGUGUUGAUAUUGCACAACUUUUGAAGGAAGAAUAAAUUGCGGUAGUUUUGCUUGUGUUUCGGCACGGGUGAACAACAUAUUGCUUUUUAUUUCGUCUGGAAAAGGUUUGUAGUAGAAGGCAAAAUGCGGAGUUGGAUAGUAUAGUCUGGUGUGCUUGUUUCUAUAUGGAAGCAAAUUGGGAAACAACAUCCAAUUUGGACCUGAUAUCAGACAAG